CCCACAGCUGUCCACCGCCGACUCUCCCGGCACAGCUGCCCGGUAUUCCCGUUGGGAAGGGGAAUUUCUGAAGCAGAACGGUGCCGCAGGAGCCAUCGGGGCCCUGUUCCCACUUCGGCGGCCGCCGCCCCAGAGGCGACCCGGCGCGGGGCUGCCAAAAUAACCUUUCCCGGGACAGCCCCUCCGUUAGCGCCGCGCUCCCCUCAGAGAGGAGGAGGUGGGAACAAGCGAGCAGGUGUUAAAAAGGCGGCGUUGAGGAAGGUGGGAGCGGAAAUUCAGACCGAAAGUAAAACCCCAUCUCAUUACUCGGAGAGAAAACGCAGAAAAAUAUCUGCUCCUUCUUCCCAGGAGCGCUGAGGUGGCUGCCCUGAGGAGGAAGGAGCCCUUUCUCCAGAGACGGUCGGGGCGGUGCCGUCGGAAGAAAGUUUCGGGCUCGUUUCGUUUUCCCCCCCGGCUGUGAAGAGGCAGCGAUACGGUUUGGGGCGAGCAGCGGGAGAUGAAGUUUCGUUGGAAAAUAAUUACCAGAGGGUUGUUCUCGAGGUGCCAGGUCUGCUUUAACGAAAACACCCCUAGAACCCAGAGUCUUCGGCGAGGAAUGGCCUCAAAGCCUCGGAGGAGCCCGUCUCCGCUGCUUCUAUUGCCCCGCCGGGCGGUAAUGCUGUUUAAAGAUCAGAUUUACGCACCCAGAGCACCGAACCGCGCCCUCGGUUCAAGCGAGGGAAUAUCCCGGGAACUGCAAACUCUCGGCCCGCCGUGCCCGUCCAGCUGACGUUUCAAUCUCGCACGGCUUCAUGCGAGAGCCUCGGAAGUGGCGGGGACGGGGCGCGCUCCCUUGCAGCGCUCGCUGCCAGGCCGAGGUGCUGCCGCGUUUCCCGGCACACGCCCGCCUCACCCGGCGGCCUGGGGGCUGCGGAGGAAGGGGCACUCACCCUCGGGGUGUCCCCCUCCUUCCAAAGCAGCGAGAAAAAGCCGCCGAGGCGAGGUGGGGCUCUCCGCCCGCAGCCGGCUGUUUGCGGUAGCAAAUCACAUUACGAAGCAAAGUGCAGGGGUAGUUAACUUUAUCUUCUGUUAAUGUAAACAAAUAAAAUACGUUCAGUUCCUUGAUCUUUAUUUAAAUCUGGAGUUGUUUAUCAGUGUCAUCCUAUGAAGAUUAAUUAGAUACCUUUAUUCACAAUUUGGCGUCUGACACCCCAUUUUAGGAAUGCAUUAUAAUCACAAGGUGUUAAUUGGGGCCAGCCAGGCACUUACGUUUCUAUUAAACAGUGUGAGGACUUGUCACAA